rnacentral:rRNA from 1 species
AGAAUCAACGCUGGCGGCGUGCCUCAGACAUGCAAGUCGAACGCGAAAGUCCCCUUCGGGGGACAAGUAGAGUGGCGCACGGGUGAGUAACACGUAGGUAAUCUACCUUCGGAUGGGGAAUAACAAUCGGAAACGGUUGCUAAUACCGCAUAAUGCAGCGGCACCUAAUGGUGACAGUUGUUAAAGCGGGGGAUCGAAAGACCUCGCGUCUGAAGAGGAGCCUGCGGCGGAUUAGCUAGUUGGUAAGGUAAUGGCUUACCAAGGCGACGAUCC